CUCCAGACUCCUACGGGAGGCAGCAGUGGGGAAUAUUGCACAAUGGGCGAAAGCCUGAUGCAGCAACGCCGCGUGAAGGAAGACGGUUUUCGGAUUGUAAACUUCUGUUCUUAGUGAAGAAUAAUGACGGUAACUAAGGAGCAAGCCACGGCUAACUACGUGCCAGCAGCCGCGGUAAUACGUAGGUGGCAAGCGUUGUCCGGAAUUACUGGGUGUAAAGGGAGCGUAGGCGGGAAGCCAAGUCAGCUGUGAAAACUACGGGCUUAACCUGUAGACUGCAGUUGAAACUGGCUUUCUUGAGUGAAGUAGGGGUUGGCGGAAUUCCGAGUGUAGCGGUGAAAUGCUUAGAUAUCACGAAGAACCCCGAUUGCGAAGGCAGCCUGCCGCAGCGUUACUGACGCUGAAGCGCGAAAGCGCGGGUAUCGAACAGGAUUAGAUACCCGGGUAAA
rnacentral:rRNA from 1 species